GACGAACGCUGGUGGCGUGCUUAACACAUGCAAGUCGAACGGAAAGGCCCUGCUUUUGUGGGGUGCUCGAGCGGCGAACGGGUGAGUAACACGUGAGUAACCUGCCCUUGACUUUGGGAUAACUUCAGGAAACUGGGGCUAAUACCGGAUAGGAGCUCCUGCUGCAUGGUGGGGGUUGGAAAGUUUCGGCGGUUGGGGAUGGACUCGCGGCUUAUCAGCUUGUUGGUGGGGUAGUGGCUUACCAAGGCUUUGACGGGUAGCCGGCCUGAGAGGGUGACCGGCCACAUUGGGACUGAGAUACGGCCCAGACUCCUACGGGAGGCAGCAGUGGGGAAUAUUGCACAAUGGGCGGAAGCCUGAUGCAGCAACGCCGCGUGCGGGAUGACGGCCUUCGGGUUGUAAACCGCUUUCGCCUGUGACGAAGCGUGAGUGACGGUAAUGGGUAAAGAAGCACCGGCUAACUACGUG
rnacentral:rRNA from 1 species